rnacentral:rRNA from 1 species
UACGGAGGGGGCUAGCGUUGUUCGGAAUUACUGGGCGUAAAGCGCACGUAGGCGGCUUUGUAAGUUAGAGGUGAAAGCCCGGGGCUCAACUCCGGAAUUGCCUUUAAGACUGCAUCGCUAGAAUUGUGGAGAGGUAAGUGGAAUUCCGAGUGUAGAGGUGAAAUUCGUAGAUAUCGGGAGGAACAUCAGUGGCGAAGGCGGCUACCUGGCCCAAUACUGACACUCAGGUGCGACAGCGUGGGGAGCAAACAGG